GUACAAAGGGAAGAAUAGGCAAAAAGCAGUGAGAAAUUCUUAAUAUCAGUCCUUCCAGCCUUGCUUACUCAGACAGAACAUUGUAAAAUCAGCAUCUGUGCUAUCUUCUGUACUAUAAUGUGAGCUAUGCCAUGCGAUUUCUAGAUCCAUCACAGAAAGGCACACAACCUUACCUGAAAUAACAAAUGGCUAAUGGUACCUUGCUCUGCAUUAAACUAUCCAACCAAGACCAGCUAAUUAAAGGCAGGCUAGAUUUAGUUAUUUUCAUCAAAGAUGAUCUUUUUGAAAUAAGGCAUUUGUUCAGACGUUGUCAUGUGUAGUGGGAAUGUUAAGUCCUGGCAUGAACCAGUGAUUGAGCACCUGGUGGGAAGGCAGGGCCAACCCAGAGGAGCUCAAGUGCAUGCAACAAACCUGAGAGACCAGAAGGGGUGGAGCCAUGAUCUACCCCUUCCCAGACCUCAUUUAAGGGUUGGUAGCAGAGGUGAGGGUAUCUUCCUGGAGUUCUUGAGAUCCCUGUUUACCUGAGGUCUUCCAAAGGUGAGUGUUGAGUUGUUUUUGUUGGGUUUGUUUGUUUGUUUCCCCCCCUCCUUUCUUUAUUUCUGUGAUUGUAGUUGCUGCAUUAGGGCUUGUUCUCAUUCCUUUUAGCCUUGGGUUGUGUCACUCUGUUAUUAUGUCAGUGCUUUCCAUUGUGUUACCAUGUUUCAUCAGGCUAAGAUGUGGGGCAGCCAGCACUGAAGGAAAAAGGCAGGAGACCAUUCCUAAACCUCUUGAGACACUAGGGGAUAUACGUGGUAGAGCUGCCGCCACACAGGGUAUCUCAUCAUGUACUGUGUACCAGAGGUACCUGAACUGUUGCCCAUGGAUAGCAGGUAGACGUAAAGACCUACAGAAGACCUUUGUACUUUGCGUCUUUCAUCUGAAGGCCAGAUGGGAUUGUUUAAGCACUGGACACCUGUGUUUAGUUUGUUGCAGUCCAGUGACACGUUUCACUUGCUCAGAGCUUUUCUCUAGAACACUCACGACCAUGUUAAAACAGUUGGAAGGCUGACUUUUCACAGCAGUAUCUAUGCACCACCCACAGCACUGAACCUUUCUUCCUAAUUCUUGUUUAAGUUACGAAGAAGCAAAGAAACAUUUUGCAGUGGAGCGAUGCCAGCUUUCACCACCUGGAUUUGUGUGUUUAAUAUUAAUUAAACUAAGGUAAAUAACACACCGAGAAAAUGAAUACUGAGAAAUUCACCUACCGAUUGUUUCUGGGAUUCCAGUAUACAAUUAUGUAUCAGUUCUUGUUCUACUAAGGGAUCGAUACUAAAAAAUGAUUCUAAGUUAUUUGCCAUCUUUCUAAUGAAAUAUUCCAGUAAAACUGUGGCAGUAUUGUCUUGAUCUUGGACUGAGCUCUCUGUGGCAAAAGCAUGGGUUUAAUUUGAGGGCAAUCAGAUGCUAAUUUUUACGACACAUCUUGUUUAUCUAUGGUAAUUUACUGCAAAAGAAAUUUCAACGGUAGAACGCAAGCAGGAAAAACAAAGCAGUCUGGCUCAAAUUUCCUUCACACUCUUUGAAUAGGGGCUGUACUGAGCAUGUAAAUCAGAUCAGUGGCCUUAAAGAAGCGUUGAGGUCUCUAAAAGGCUCUAAAUGGAGGUAUGUCUUACUAUCCUUGCAUCAUUCCCACAGUCCCACUGGCUAAUGGGACUGAAUUUGGUCUCUUCCUCUGCUCUGUAAUCUAGCUAUAGUCUUGUUCUCUUCCUUUGUGUAUAAUGUGAGGGGACAGAGACACGUUUGUCCUUCUGUUCAAAGCUUCCCCCUUUAUUUUAGCCUCACAACAAUGCCAAGCAAGAAGAGGGCUAUUUGCAACUUAACGAUUCAAAAGGUAACCUGGCAUUGGGGUGAAUGUGGGCACUGCUGCUCUUUUAAAAAACAAGGAGUUCUUUGAACAGUGAAGUUAACAAAACCUUGUUUCUUACAGCUUUAAACACUGUGAUUUGACCUCAGUGUCUUCAUCUCCCUCUCCAUUUUAUGCUUCCUUCAUUUAUCCUCCCUUUUUAAAUUUAAUUUCUUUUUCCCCUCUUAAUUCCUCUCCCCAGGAAUUGCAAUACAACAGUUCUUUCCACUUUUUUUUUCUGUGCUUUACUCUUGCUCCCUAUUUUUCAUACUAUCCGGAAGCUACAUGUACACUGUAUGGCCAGUUGAACACAGUCUGGUGUGAAGGAAAAUGUUUAGGGAUAUGUCUUGGAUAUUCCCUGGGAUAGUUUCUUAUCAGAGACUUUCUGGGGACAUUACACCACUCUCCUUUGAGACUGCACUAUCAGCUUGAAAAUUUGACAUCACUGAAGUUGGAGAAAUCUUAAAUACAUUCAAUUUUUUUUUUUUCUAUAUUUGAAGUGAUUUGGACCAAUAUCUGCCAAGACUGAUUUACCCGUCACUAAUACUUUUGUUUGGGAAAUAUCUGAAGCAUUACUGGUGGAUCAAGGAAGUAACAUUGUUGCACAGAAACUUGCUUGCUCAUUUCAGUGGCAACAAAAGGACUACUUCUGUUUUUUGUUUGUUUGUUUGUUUUUUGUUUUUUCCUUCCCCCAUGAAAACUGUGUGAUUUUUUAAUUCAAAUAAGGGUUAAUUAAAUUUUAAAGCACUCCUUGUACUUUAAUGUGAGUGGGUGUCUGCUUGAUCACAAGGAAAUAUUAAUUCUCUAUCCUAACCCUUGUUACAUAAACAUCUGAGUGACUUUUUCAUUACUACAGCAAUACAACACACUCUUUCUGUUUUUGUCUACAGCUGCAGAUUGACUUGAAGGCAGAAAUCUUUUUAUUAAAUUGUCUAUUACAUUAAAUACUUUGGUAAUUGUAUUAGUGUCUUACUUCAUGAAAAAUGAUCUCUUACUAAUUUAUUUAGUGGAAAGGUCUUCUAUUUUACAAUACCUUGUGUAGAAAUAUUCUGAAAGAAGGCCAGAUAGGUAUUCUGAAAGAAGUGUCAGAAGAUUUACAUUUUAUAUUCUGAUACAGAUUUACUGGCUGGUCUGUUUAGCAUUCUCAGAGUAAUUUUGUCAUCACUAUAAUAUUUAAGAUUCUCAGAGUGAAAGGUCAGAAGGAGUCAUUCUAUCACCUUGCUUGAUUUGUGGUUUCUUCACAGAAUCAUAGAAUCUUUUGAGUUGGAAGGGACCUUUAAAGGUCAUCCAGUCUAACUCUUCUGCAAUGAACAGCAAAGCUACAGGUAGAUCAGGUUGCUCAGAGCCCACUCCAUCCUGACUCUGGGUGUCUCCAAGAAUGGGGCACCCACCACCUCUCUGGGCAACCUGUGCCUCACCACCCUUACUGUAAACAUCUUCCUUAUAUCCAAUCUAAAUCUCCCCUCCUUAAUUUGAAAUUAUUUCCCAUGUCUUGUCACAACAGACCCUAUGAAAGAAUCUGUCCUCUUCUUUCUUACAGCCAAUACAAGAACUAUAGGUGAGAGAACCUCUUUUUAGUCCAUAGAAAUAUCAUGGUUUUUGUCCUUUUUAAAUUCAUUUCCAAGUACAUCAAAAACAAGAAGACAGUUUGAGGGAUGCCUUAUAUGAUCAAAUACCUUCAGUGCUGGAUGAGCAGGGGGUAGUAGAUGCAAUGUCUUGAUUUCAGUGAGAUUUUUUAUACUGCCUCUUUCAGCAUGUUCAUUUAGAAGGUGAGUGUCAUGUGGACUGGAUAAAGGACUCUUGUGUGGCUUAAAACAGGCCAGGAUGGUUUUAUUUUUAGUAGUAUAAUGAGUGAAUAAAUAAAAUAGAUAAACACUGAGGCCCA
rnacentral:lncRNA from 1 species